rnacentral:snoRNA from 1 species
AUCUCCUUUUAAGGCUGACACAGUGCCUUAAGAGGCUAACACAGAAGGGUAAAGGAAGUCUCCAAAAAACCCAGAGAAGAGAUUUUUAGAACUCCUCUCUGGAUCCUGUCUGGAGUCACAACU